CUCAACGGUUUUCAAGUUCUCAAACAGGUAGGGAUAGACAGCCCAGACCCCCCCCCCCGCUUUUUUGGAAAAAAAUUGGUUGCUUAUAUAGGGAAUCACUGAAUUGUGACUGGAGCGGCCCCUCUUAGGUCAGUAAGUGGGCCCCACUUAUAAAAAUUUCUGGAUCCGCCACUAGGGGUAUAGUGACCCUAGGGACUUCCCCUACAUUUCAUUUUAUUUGUUAUAUUGUGCCAUACAUGAAUAUAUAUGGUUUAGGGGUGGGGAUCUCAUUGGUUUCCAAGUUCUCAAACAGAAGGGGUAGGGUGGCCCAAGGGACUCCCCCUAUAUUUCAUUUAAUUAGUUAUAUUGAUCCAUACAUGAAUAUAUAUUGUUUUGGUGUGGGGAUCUCCACCGUUUCCAAGUUCUCAAACAGGAGGGUUGGGAUGACCACAGGGACUUCCCCUAUAUUUCAUUUGAUUUGUUAUAUUGUCCCAUACAUGAGUAUAUAUGGUUUAGGGGUAAGGAUCUUGACCAUUUCCAAGUUCGCAAACAGGAGGGUGAACAGUGACCUCAGGGACUCCCCCUAUCUUUCAUCUGAUUUGUUAUAUUGUCCCAUACAUGAAUAUAUAUGGUUUAGGGAUGGGGAUCUCGACCAUUUUUAAAUUCUAAAACAGGAGGGGUGGGGUGACCCCUAGCAACUCUUCCUAUAUUUCAUUUGAUUUUUCAUAUUGUCACAAACAUGAAUAUAUAUGGUUAAGGGGUGUGGAUCUCGACCGUUUCCAAGUUCUCAAACAGGAGGGGGUGGGGUAACUCCAGGGACUCCCCCUAUAUUUCAUUUUUUAUUUAUUAUAUUGUCCUAUACUUGAAUAUAUGCAGGGGCGGAUUCAGACGGGGGAGGGUUGCGGGCUUGCACCCCCCUUAAAUUUGCAAAGCAUGGGUUGUUCUCAGCUUAAUAAAGAAUAUUCCGAGAAUUUUACCUCAAUUUUUUUUUUAGCCUUGCUCUGCUCAGCAAAAAUUUAAGUUUGCGCCCCUCCUAACCUAAAAUCCUGGAUCUGCCCCCUCAUAUGGUUUAGGGGUGGGGAGCUCGACCGUUUCCAAGUUAUCAAACAGGAGGGGGUAGAGUGGUCCAAAGAAUGCCACCUAUAUAUAUAAUCAUAUGAUUUACUUACAUUAAGGUAUAUAUAUAUAAUAUAGUUGCAUUAUUAGUGAAAAUAAAGAAUGAAACUUUUAGCUACUUUAAUUGACCCUUCAAAAUUGAGAAGUAACAAAUAACCCCUCGAAAUUGCAGUAAACUUUACACUUUAAAAGCAUCUCACAUGCAUUAUCAUCAUUUAUCAUUUAUAAAGAAAAUUUAGACUGUGACCAUGAACAUGUAUAUUUGUUAGAUAUACUGUUCCCAGCUGUCACGUUGUAUUGGAUUUUUAAAUUAAAAUUUGUCAAAAAGUAAUUUUGAGUUUCUGAAUAAAAUAUUUUUCUGCUUUUUCUUUCUUUUACAUAUAUCUUUUGGUUUACAAUACUAGUGUUUAUAUUCAUUUACCAUGCAUAGAUGUAUUUUUUCACCUGCCCCUUGGAUUUAUUUUGUAAAUGAUCGCCAAACCCGGAAUUACCCUUAUCCGCUUCCGUAAUCGGAUCCGAUUUUGUAAAAUUUUGUCUUCACGGCCGCCAUUGUUAUGGUGUUUACAAUGUUGUUUUUGUCAAUCAGAUACGAUUUUACUCGAAUUUAUACAAUAUUUGUUGGCGAUUUUCUGUAUAAAGCUAGCGGUUGAACAAAAUGAACAUCGCCGUCAUGAAUAAUAAUGAUAAAAUAAGUUUUUAGCUCGUUUAAUUGGAGACUUUGGUGAACAUGGUGAAAAGGUUUGCAAAG
rnacentral:lncRNA from 1 species